rnacentral:tRNA from 1 species
GGGCCUGUAGCUCAGUUGGUUAGAGCAUCGCACUCAUAAUGCGCUGGUCCCUGGUUCGAGUCCAGGCAGGCCCACCA